GGUGGGGACGGGUCCAGUGAUGUGACAUAUGCCAACGUUAAAUCAAAGAAACGCAAGAAACAAGAUUCAGCUGGCCCCAGUGAUGUCACAUAUGCUGAUGUGCAGAUUAAGAUGAAACCACUGGGCAGCAGAGCCAAACCAACAAACCAGCCAGAGGAACAUCUGUAUUCUGCUGUGAAACCUGGUUGUUCAUCAAAUAAUGAAUAACACAUUUUAAGAAAUCAUUUACAUCCUUAGCAUUAAUCU